GCGGAACUCGGCGGUCAGGGUUCUAGCGCUGCAAGGUGUGAGAGUUCGAGUCUCUCCGUCCGCACCA
rnacentral:tRNA from 1 species